rnacentral:rRNA from 1 species
GAUGAACGCUGGCGGCGUGCUUAACACAUGCGAGUCGAACGGAAAGGCCCUGCUUUUGUGGGGUGCUCGAGUGGCGAACGGGUGAGUAACACGUGAGUAACCUUCCCUUGACUUUGGGAUAACUUCAGGAAACUGGGGCUAAUACCGGAUAGGAGCUCCUGCUGCAUGGUGGGGGUUGGAAAGUUUCGGCGGUUGGGGAUGGACUCGCGGCUUAUCAGCUUGUUGGUGGGGUAGUGGCUUACCAAGGCUUUGACGGGUAGCCGGCCUGAGAGGGUGACCGGCCACAUUGGGACUGAGAUACGGCCCAGACUCCUACGGGAGGCAGCAGUGGGGAAUAUUGCACAAUGGGCGGAAGCCUGAUGCAGCAACGCCGCGUGCGGGAUGACGGCCUUCGGGUUGUAAACCGCUUUCGCCUGUGACGAAGCGUGAGUGACGGUAAUGGGUAAAGAAGCACCGGCUAACUACGUG